AUACUCUGGUUUCUCUUCAGAUCGUAGAAAUCUUUCGCCUUUUACUAAAGAUUUCCGUGGAGAGGAACAUUUAUGAGUUUCUACCCAAUUUUUGUUCUUUAAAACGUCCAAUAAUG
rnacentral:snRNA from 1 species